AGUGAACGCUGGCGGUAGGCCUAACACAUGCAAGUCGAACGGCAGCACAGUAAGAGCUUGCUCUUACGGGUGGCGAGUGGCGGACGGGUGAGGAAUACAUCGGAAUCUACUUUUUCGUGGGGGAUAACGUAAGGAAACUUACGCUAAUACCGCAUACGACCUACGGGUGAAAGCAGGGGAUCUUCGGACCUUGCGCGAUUGAAUGAGCCGAUGUCGGAUUAGCUAGUUGGCGGGGUAAAGGCCCACCAAGGCGACGAUCCGUAGCUGGUCUGAGAGGAUGAUCAGCCACACUGGAACUGAGACACGGUCCAGACUCCUACGGGAGGCAGCAGUGGGGAAUAUUGGACAAUGGGCGCAAGCCUGAUCCAGCCAUACCGCGUGGGUGAAGAAGGCCUUCGGGUUGUAAAGCCCUUUUGUUGGGAAAGAAAAGCAGCAGGUUAAUACCCCGCUGUUCUGACGGUACCCAAAGAAUAAGCACCGGCUAACUUCGUG
rnacentral:rRNA from 1 species